rnacentral:rRNA from 1 species
GGGGGGACGCAGGAAGGUAGGGCGAGCAGGCUGCUGGAAUAGCCUGUCCAAGCGGUUAGGCUGCCAGAUAGGCAAAUCCGUCUGGCGCAAAGGCUGAGCCGUGAUGGCGAAGGGACCAUCGGUCCCGAAGUCCCCGAUCCUACACUGCCAAGAAAAGCCUCUAGCGAGGUGAGAGGUGCCCGUACCGCAAACCGACACAGGUAGGCGAGGAGAGAAUCCUAAGGUGCGCGGGAGAACUCUCGUUAAGGAACUCGGCAAAAUGACCCCGUAACUUCGGGAGAAGGGGUGCUCUCUUGGGUGAUGAGCCCGAGAGAGCCGCAGUGAAAAGGCCCAAGCGACUGUUUAUCAAAAACACAGGUCUCUGCGAAGCCGAAAGGCGAAGUAUAGGGGCUGACACCUGCCCGGUGCUGGAAGGUUAAGGGGAGCGCUUAAGCCGCAAGGCUGAAGGUGCGAACCGAAGCCCCAGUAAACGGCGGCCGUAACUAUAACGGUCCUAAGGUAGCGAAAUUCCUUGUCGGGUAAGUUCCGACCCGCACGAAAGGUGUAACGACUUGGGCACUGUCUCAACGAGAGACCCGGUGAAAUCAUACUACCUGUGAAGAUGCAGGUUACCCGCGACAGGACGGAAAGACCCCGUGGAGCUUUACUGCAGCCUGAUAUGGAAUUUUGGUAUCGCUUGUACAGGAUAGGUGGGAGCCUGAGAAGCCGGAGCGCCAGCUUCGGUGGAGGCGCCGGUGGGAUACCACCCUGGCGGUAUUGAAAUUCUAACCCGCACCCCUGAUCGGGGUGGGAGACAGUGUCAGGUGGGCAGUUUGACUGGGGCGGUCGCCUCCCAAAAGGUAACGGAGGCGCCCAAAGGUUCCCUCAGAAUGGUUGGAAAUCAUUCGUAGAGUGCAAAGGCACAAGGGAGCUUGACUGCGAGACGGACAGGUCGAGCAGGGACGAAAGUCGGGCUUAGUGAUCCGGUGGUUCCGUAUGGAAGGGCCAUCGCUCAACGGAUAAAAGCUACCCCGGGGAUAACAGGCUGAUCUCCCCCAAGAGUCCACAUCGACGGGGAGGUUUGGCACCUCGAUGUCGGCUCAUCGCAUCCUGGGGCUGUAGUCGGUCCCAAGGGUUGGGCUGUUCGCCCAUUAAAGCGGUACGCGAGCUGGGUUCAGAACGUCGUGAGACAGUUCGGUCCCUAUCCGUCGCGGGCGCAGGAAAUUUGAGAGGAGCUGUCCUUAGUACGAGAGGACCGGGAUGGACGCACCGCUGGUGUACCAGUUGUCCCGCCAGGGGCACCGCUGGGUAGCUAUGUGCGGAAGGGAUAAGCGCUGAAAGCAUCUAAGCGUGAAGCCCCCCUCAAGAUGAGAUUUCCCAUCGCGUCAAGCGAGUAAGAUCCCUCGAAGAUGACGAGGUCGAUAGGUCCGAGGUGGAAGCGUGGCGACACGUGGAGCUGA